rnacentral:tRNA from 1 species
GGGGCGUUAGCUCAGCCGGUUAGAGCAGCGGACUCAUAAUCCGUCGGUCGCGGGUUCAAGUCCCGCACGCCCUAC